rnacentral:rRNA from 1 species
AACGAACGCUGGCGGCAUGCCUAACACAUGCAAGUCGAACGAGACCUUCGGGUCUAGUGGCGCACGGGUGCGUAACGCGUGGGAACCUGCCCUUAGGUUCGGAAUAACUCCCCGAAAGGGGUGCUAAUACCGGAUAAUGUCUUCGGACCAAAGAUUUAUCGCCUUUGGAUGGGCCCGCGUUGGAUUAGCUGUUGGUAGGGUAAACGCCUACCAAGGCGACGAUCCAUAGCUGGUCUGAGAGGAUGAUCAGCCACACUGGGACUGAGACACGGCCCAGACUCCUACGGGAGGCAGCAGUGGGGAAUAUUGGACAAUGGGCGAAAGCCUGAUCCAGCAAUGCCGCGUGAGUGAUGAAGGCCUUAGGGUUGUAAAGCUCUUUUACCCGGGAUGAUAAUGACAGUACCGGGAGAAUAAGCUCCGGCUAACUCCGUG